CCUACGGGUGGCAGCAGUGAGGAAUAUUGGUCAAUGGGCGCGAGCCUGAACCAGCCAAGUAGCGUGAAGGAUGACUGCCCUACGGUGUGUAACCUUCUUUUAUAAAGGAAUAAAGUGAGUCACGUGGGCCUUUUUGUAUGUACUUUACGAAUAAAGAUCGGCUAACCCCGGGCCAGCAGCCGCGGUAAUACGGAGGAUCCGAGCGUUAUCCAGAUUUAUUGGGUGUAAGGGGAGAGGAGACUGGUUGUUAAGUCAGUUGUGAAAUUUAUCGGCUAAACCGGAAAAUUGCAAUUGAUACUGGCAAUCUUGAGUACAGUUGAGGAAAGCGGAAUUCGUGGUGUAGCGGUGAAAUGCUUAGAUAUCACGAAGAACACCGAUUGCGAAGGCAGCUUACUAAACUGUGACUGACAUUGAUGCGCGAAAGUGUGGGUAUCAAACAGGAUUAGAUACCCCAGUAGUC
rnacentral:rRNA from 1 species